rnacentral:tRNA from 1 species
GCCGGUGUGAUGAAACUGGCAGACAUGCGGGACUCAAAAUCCCGUGUCCGCAAGGGCGUAGGGGUUCGACUCCCCUCACCGGCACCA